rnacentral:lncRNA from 1 species
AGCGGGGAAAAUGGUUGUUGUUCGGGUGCGCAGCCUUGCCAGCAGGAGGGGCGGGGCCCGGGGCGACGGGUGCCCUCCCUCCCCCCGGGAGGCUGGGACCCCGGGACCCUGAACCUCAUCCAGGGGACUCCUCUUGGGAGCUGGGUUAUUUGGGUGUGUGCUUUGUUUUUUUUUUCCCCCUUCUUUUUUUAGGUGAAAGAAAAAUGUGCUUAGGAGAGGAUUUCAUGACUCGCCUGAGCCAGCGCAAUUCAUUUCGAGGUGACCAUUUAUUCCUGGCUCACAAGUUCGCAAGUCUUGUGAAAAACAAUCCCAUCGCACCGAGGAUACUCCAGGAUGGAGCGGAGGGCGAGAGUGCAGUCGUGUUAGUGAGAAAGAGCCCACCCGAUAUGCUCCUAUUGCACUUCUAUUGAAGAAUAAAAGGCUGCGGUCUCUCCAGACGAGAACUUGUCAGAUAUUUUAAAGUCUGGCUUUCAGUCCUUUCUGGUGAAUGCUCUGGAAACAAGAGGUGGACAAACCAAAAAAAUAAAAUAAAAGAAAGAAAGAAAAAGGAAGAAAAAGAACCUCA